rnacentral:rRNA from 1 species
AGAGUUUGAUCCUGGCUCAGGACGAACGCUGGCGGCGUGCUUAAUACAUGCAAGUCGAGCGAGGUUACUGUUUUGGAUCCCUUCGGGGUGAAGAAGCUUUAACCUAGCGGCGGACGGGUGAGUAACGCGUGGGUAACCUACCCCAAAGUCCGGGAUAACAGCGGGAAACCGCUGCUAAUACCGGAUGCCUUUACCUUGGGGCAUCUUGAGGUAAAGAAAGGUAACGCUUUGGGAUGGGCCCGCGUCCCAUUAGCUAGUUGGUGAGGUAACGGCUCACCAAGGCGACGAUGGGUAGCCGGCCUGAGAGGGUGGACGGCCACACUGGGACUGAGACACGGCCCAGACUCCUACGGGAGGCAGCAGUAGGGAAUAUUGCGCAAUGGACGGAAGUCUGACGCAGCGACGCCGCGUGAGCGAUGAAGGUCUUCGGAUCGUAAAGCUCUGUCCUUGGGGAAGAAGGCGAAAGCUUGACGGUACCCAAGAAGAAAGCCCCGGCUAACUACGUGCCAGCAGCCGCGGUAAU